CAUGCCUCCCAGAGAACAGAUGCAGCCUUGAGGUGGAGGACCCUGACUGGACCAAGGGAGCAGGUUCACGGCGGGUCUUGGACAGGACAAGCAUUACUAUUCACCAGCAGCCCUGGGAACUCUCCCUGAGGCCUCCACUCCAGUCAUUUCAUAACCUGGCAAGAAUCGUGUCACCUUCCGGGGUUUUCAGCACUGAUGACACUCUUGUUUCCUCAUGAAAAAGCCUGGGUCACCUGAGGACGCUUCUUGCAUGGAUCCAGCUGGCCUGCACCUUCCUGUCACCAAUUCCCUGUGUUCCCUCCAGGGGCGCUGAGCAUCGUUUUCACUGUGAUGAAUACACUGUAACUGAACUAGUUACGAGGAUUAAAAAACAAGUCUUUGCAAUCUGCUAAGUAACGCCUUGAGCCCUUGUCCUCUUUCAAAAAGGAAGACAGCAACUGAUACCCCACCAGGUUUUAGCUGGGCUUACUGAAAAGCCGUAUUUUUAUUUUUAUUUAUUUUUCUUACUUCUUAUUUUGUAUUGGGAUAUAGUCAAUUAAUAAUGUUGUGAUAGUUUCAGGCAAACGGUGAAGGGACUUGGCCAUACAUAUACAUGUGUCUGUACUCUCUCAAACUCCUCUCUCACCCAGGCUACCACAUAACAUUGAGCAGAGUUCCAUGUACCAUAACUUUUUAAAAAUACAAGUGUAAUAUGAACCAGCCACACAUCUCAAUAUUUCACCUGCUUGUAGAGAACAUGUCUCCAAAAAAGGCUUUGGGGAAGAGCACUGCAGUAUAAGGGCAAUGAGGUCAGAUCACCUGCUCAUUGUAUAUACACAAAUUAUAUAUGGAAAAGCCCAGAAGGCAUAUCCUGUCAGGAGGUGGAUCAAAUCACCGAUAGUCACUGAUUCAGCUGUUACUGAUGGUGCUCCUAACUCCCAAACCACCCAAGGUACAGCAAGGUAUAUACCAAUAAAAAGAACAUGCAAACUGCUUCACCCUCACAUAAACGGGGACUCAAGGUUUUACCUAUAGGGAACAACUGGAGAACAAUACAAAGAAUUCUUGUAAUUAGUGAAUACAGUAAGAACAGUGGUUGAUACGCAAUAAGUCCUAGGCCUUUGGUAAGCAUUUGACAUACGUUAUCUCAUCAAAACUUUAGGAAGACAAAGACAAGUGCUGUUAUUAGACUGAUUCAAUUGAAACAGAGACCGAGAGGUCUGCACUGGCCCAAGGUCACGUGGUCAGAAAGGCAGGACUUGAACUCAGGUCUGCUUGACCUCAGAGAGCUCAAGUGCUGAGGUCUGUUCUGUGCAUGCGUCAGUGAGUAGCCCAGACAGGACGUGCUGGGGUCAUUAGGAGAAGACAAAGGAGACCACAGGGCAAUGCCUGCUAUGUCAGCAGUGCGCCAAACCUGGCCUGAAUUGGGACCCAAGUAAAAAGGCCAGUCUGGCAGCUGGGCUGGUCUCGGUCAUGUGGGAGAGCUGUGAGCGCUGGGCAGCUCCACUCCCAGGUCCGUCUGACUGCAAUCUGGAAAAGUAAGCAACCUCUGCAGCGUCACACAGAUCCCUGAGCCAUGAAAGGUGGUAAUUAAACAAGCUGCUGUCCAACUCCUGUCUUGGGGAGAGGGUCAGAGGAGGACACAGGAUAGCUCAGGACACAGCUCGAAUCCUGGAAGCGUAUCUCCUUCGUAGGAACUUCUUUGAUUGGCUGUGUUCGUGCACCUUGAGUGUCAUCAGAUUGUCACUGGCCCUGACACCCAAAACCACCUGAGACGGGCACGUUUCACCUGCUCUGUGAAUGGAUACUAAGGUUCCCAGCUUUCCCGUGUAAGGCCUGAAGCCAUCGUGAAGUAACCAGAUCUCAAUGAUACAUAAGAUAGAGUGCUGCAUCUUGAUUGUGUGAAAUUGGAAUCUGAGAACCUCUCCUCUCUUUGGGAGUAUCAGGGUCUUUUCCAACGAGUCAGCUCUUCAUAUCAAGUGGCCAAAGUACUGGAGCUUCAGCAUCAGUUCUUCCAAUGAAUAUUCAGAGUUGAUUUCCUUUAGGACUUACUGGUUUGAUCUCCUUGCUAUCCAAGGGACUCUCAAGAAUCUUCUCCAGCACCAUGAUUUGAAAGCAUAAGUUCUUCAGUGCUCACUCUUCUUUAUAUUCCAACUCUCACAUCCGGACACGACUACUGGAAAAACCAUGGCUUUGGCUAUAUGGACCUUUGCUGGCAAAGUGAUGUCUCUGCUUUUUAAUAUGGUUUUUUCAGUAAUUUACCCAAUUUCAGUAAUUUAAAGUCAAAUGGCCAGGGGACACUGGAGCCUGGGUUCAAACCCCAAUCUGCCUGAACCCAAAGUCUUAGCUCUUGACUGGCUCCAAUGGCAGAGUAAUUAUCAAGUCACUUUCCUCUCUCUACGCAUAAUGUGAUAUGUCUACAAUGAACCAAGACUCAUUUGCACAAGGGACUCCUCUGCAUAAUGGGAAGUUCAGUUUUACACACAACCUGAUCUUUGUUCUUCAUAGUUUCCUUUUCAAGCCACAAGAUCACGAGCAGCACCACCAACGAAAAUCCAAUAUUUUUAAGCAAGGGUUAGAAAGCAGGUGUUCAGAGUCAAUAGCUAAUUUUUUAAAGGUACAUUUUAUACACAGUAAAAGGUAUAGAUCAUAAGUGUGCAUCAGUGAGUUUUGGCAAACCUAUACACCUGCAUAAUUACCACCCGGUGAAGAUAAGAGUAUUUCUAUCACACAAGAAAUUUCUAUUUUCCUACCUUGCGAGCAAUCACCAUUGUAAUUUCUAACACCACAGAUUUAUUUGCUGUAUAUGUGUGGGUCAGUUUCUGUACUCUAUUCUAUUUUCCAUUGAUCUAUUUGUCUACUAUAAUGCCAAUAUAUUAAUUACUGUAGCUUUACAAUAUAUUGUGAAGUCAGAUGAUUUUAGUCCUCCAACUUUGCUCUUUUUUUAAAGUUUAUUUUUAUAUUCUAGGUCACUUGCAUUGACAUAAAAAUUUGAGGACCAGUUUGUCACUUUUUAUUAAAAAAAAAAAAAGCCUGAGAUUUUGAUUGGGAAUGCACUGAAUCUAUGUAUAGACAGCUGACAUCUUAACAACAUUUAAUUCUUGAUUCAAGAAAGAAAGUCCUUGAAUAUGAUGUACCUCUUAAUAAUCUGUCUUCUUAAAUAUCUCUUAGCAUAUAUCUUUUAUAAUUUUGUUUAAUCUAUUGCCAAGUAUUUUAUGUGUUGGUACUACUGUGAAUUAUUUUUAUUUCAUUUUAAUUUAUUUGCUAUUAGUAUAUAAAAAUAAAAUCAAUUUUUAUACAUUGACUUGUACCUUGCA
ensembl:lncRNA